rnacentral:rRNA from 1 species
AGAACGAACGCUGGCGGCAGGCCUCAAACAUGCAAGUCUAGGGGGUGUAGCAAUACAUCACCGGCGGACGGGUGCGUAACACGUGGGAAUAUACCUUUUGGUUCGGAACAACGCAGGGAAACUUGCGCUAAUACCGAAUGUGCCCUUACGGGGAAAGAUUUAUCGCCAAAGGAUUAGCCCGCGUAGGAUUAGCUAGUUGGUGAGGUAAUGGCUCACCAAGGCUCCGAUCCUUAGCUGUUCUGAGAGGAAGAUCAGCCACACUGGGACUGAGACACGGCCCAGACUCCUACGGGAGGCAGCAGUUGGGAAUCUUGGACAAUGGGGAAACCCUGAUCCAGCCAUGCCGCGUGAGUGAUGAAGGCCUUGGGUUGUAAAACUCUUUCGACGGGGACGAUAAUGACGGUACCGUAGAAGAGCUCCGGCUAACUUCGCGCCAGCAGCCGC